GAUGAACGCUGGCGGCAUGCCUAACACAUGCAAGUCGAUCGGUAAGGCUCUUCGGAGUACACGAGAGGCGGACGGCUGAGUAACGCGUAGGAACACACCCUGCAGUGAGGGAUAAGACACCGAAAGGUGUUCUAAUACCGCAUACGGUCUUCGGAUUAAAGCAUUUAUGCGCUGAAGGAGUGGCCUGCGUCAUAUUAGAUAGUUGGUGAGGUAAUGGCUCACCAAGUCGAUGAUGUGUAGCUGGUCUGAGAGGAUGAUCAGCCAGACUGGAACUGAGACACGGUCCAGACUCCUACGGGAGGCAGCAGUGAGGAAUAUUUCACAAUGAGCGAAAGCUUGAUGGAGCAAUGCCGCGUGCAGGAUGAAGGCCCUCGGGUUGUAAACUGCUUUUAUAAGAGAAGAUUAUGACGGUAACUUAUGAAUAAGGGACGGCUAACUACG
rnacentral:rRNA from 1 species